UACGUAGGUGGCAAGCGUUGUCCGGAUUUACUGGGCGUAAAGGGCGUGCAGGCGGUUUGUUAAGUCCAGGGUGAAAGCUCCCGGCUCAACUGGGAGAGGUCGUUGGAUACUGGCAGACUUGAGGAGGGUAGAGGAGAGUGGAAUUCCCGGUGUAGUGGUGAUAUGCGUAGAUAUCGGGAGGAACACCAGUGGCGAAGGCGGCUCUCUGGGCCCUACCUGACGCUGAGACGCGAAAGCGUGGGGAGCGAACCGG
rnacentral:rRNA from 1 species